GUGACCGUGCUAACCACCGCACCACCAUGCCACCCUGUGAUUUGGAGGUGUUAUGUUUCUCUAAUCACAGUGAUGAGUUAUGACAUGAUGUACUCUUCUGAGCAUGAAUCAGGAUUUAGCUUAUGAUUUUCUUUCAUUGGCUUUAAUCAUUCAUGAUUGUUUGUUUUUUGCUUCUUAUGAAGCAUGAAAGCAAGAGUACAUGAUCUGAGUGAU